CUACUUACCAAACCCGUCGCCAUUACCAAGUCUUUCAAGCUUCGUCUUCCCCCUCCCCUCAACCCCCUGGGGGUUGAGCCUCCGCCCAGCUCUUUCGCCCUCUUACUGGUCUGCAGAACUGCCGUUCAAUCUUUCCCCUUUCCCAUUGGGUGAUACCUUGGCCUGCCUCGGGGGGCGGGCUUGUAUUGACUUUUGUGUUGUGUUUACUGGAGGAAACGGCAUGUCAGUCACUAGAAUGAGCGCUUCGGAUUGGAUUGCUGCUGAGACUCCGGGGACCAACGCCAAACUUUGCACCCGAAAUGGAUUUUGGGUUUGUAGUCUCAGCCUUGGCUUCGUACCUCUGGGAAACAGCACGCCGGAGGAACCGGUUGGACUACAUAUCCCAGAGGGAUUCCUGGUGUGGACCAAAAAGGCCACAUACUAAACCUGACAAGCUCAGGGGAGGCCAGCAUGGCAGGCCUUACCAACUCCGAGAUCUAAAGUGACCACAUAGGAUGGGCUGAAAUGAAAACUUUCUGGCAAAAAGCAGGUCUUGGAAGGGUAAAGAACCUCAAGACGAAGAACCCAGCGCACCACACCUCCUCCACCCCUGUCUUCCCCGGUAGGCAUGCAUCUCCUAAACUCCAAAGAACCCCAUGAGGCUGGCAACCAGGGCAGCAAUGGGAGCAGUUGGUCCCAGACAAACCCUCUGAACCUGUUUCCAUGGCCCCCUUUUCUCUGACUUCUUAGCGAGCCAAAGCAGACCAGCGUGGGCUCAUUUCCCAGCCCUUCCUUGUUUCUCUGUCCCCAGCUUUAAGAAACGUCCUCUAAAAUUCACCUGGCCCGGCCGGCGUGGCUCAGUGAUUGAGCGUCGACCUAUGAACCAGGAGGUCACAGGUUCGAUUCCCGGUCCGGGCACAUGCCUGGGUUGCAGGCUCGAUCCCCAGUGGGGGGGCAUCAGGAGGCAGCCGAUCUAUGCUUCUCUCAUCGUUGAUGUUUCUAUCUCUCUCUCCCUCUCCCUUUCUCUCUGAAAUCAAUAAAAAUAUUUAAAAAAUAAA